rnacentral:tRNA from 1 species
GGAGAAGUACCCAAGUAUGGCUGAAGGGGCUCCCCUGCUAAGGGAGUAGAGCGUGCGAAGCGCUGCGAGGGUUCGAAUCCCUCCUUCUCCGCCA